AAGCUGUGAGGCGCUCCGGACGAAUGAACUCCCUCAAGAAGGUGCACAGAGUGGUGGCGAGUCCUUUAUUUUAAUGCCAAACUUCAACUUCCUAAGUUUUCUCUUCCAUCCCUGUCUGUGAAGAAUCCGGGGAGUGUAUGAAAACGUCUAGUUGCAGGAAAACAGGCUGAGGGCUCCCACUGAUUCUACAUUAUGGGCUGGAAUCUGAGUAGCUGAGGUGCUUAUGUGACUACAUGCCUACAUCACUGACCCCCAAUAAACACCUUGGACACAAGACUCAGGCUGCUUCAUCGAUACUUUCUUAUUUUAUGUUAUGAUGCAUCAAAGUGAACUCUGAUCCCUUCAAACAGAAUCAUUGCUUUCAGAUAAAGAAACCUCAGAUCAAAUAUAAGCAUCAAAAUCUACAAAGAUUUUAGAGGGUGAAGAAACACGGAAAGAUCUCUGGUGAUGGAGCCAGCAUUGAUGAACCAAGAAAAGUCUUAAACGUGAAGAAGCCUGUGAUAAACAAGGACUGUGCCCAGGGGAAUAACAAGGAAGAAAAAUGUCAGAAGAAUUAGUUUCUCUCUAAUUGAACAAAUGUAUUUAUAUUUCCUUGUUGAUAGGCAUAGAUUCUCAAUGAGAAACUGAAACUUAUGAAGUUACAUUUAAGACUCCAGUUGUGACAAUGAUGACCAAUGCUCUUUGGUAUUACGUUUUCCAAUUCAACACAGGAAAUGAGUUGGAAUUUGUUUUGCAGUUUUUUUUUCAGCCUGUUUUGUGGAGUAUUUUUUCCUGUGAUCUGUAGAAACACAAUGAUAACAUUACGAACUUUGCCAGUCAUUGGCCCAUCAAAAAUGUUUGUAUGCUUGAAUGGGCAAGAAAUUACAUUUGAUGGAGUCCCAUGUGCCUCAUUAACUAAAUUUUUCUUUUCGGUUAUUAUUAAAGGACAGUAGGUGGCCAGGCACGAUGGCUCAUUCCUGUAAUCCCAGCAGUUCAGGAGGCCAAGGUGGGCAGAUCAUGAGGUCAGGAGACCAAGACCAUCCUGGCCAACACGGUGAAAUCCCGUCUCUACUAAAAAUACAAAAAUUAGCCAGGUGUGGUGGUGUGUGCCUGUAAUCCCAGCUACUAGGAGGCUGAGGCAGGAGAAUCUCUCUAACCAGGGAUUCGGAGGUUGCAGUGAGCCGAGAUUGCGCCACUACCCUCCAGCCAGGCAAUAGAGCGAGAGUCUGUCUCCAAAAAAAAAAGACUGUAGGUAUGAGAUCAGACGUGACUUUUAACUUUUAACUUUUAACUUUCAUGUUCUUCAUCUUCCAUUCUUGCCACAAAAAGACUGCCGUUUCCUUCUUCACAUUCAAUGUGUCUCAUGGGUCAGAGAAUCUGUGUGGUUACACUCUUAACUAGUACAGCCACUGUUCUUCGACUACUUAAACGCUCUUAUCCUUCCACUCAGUCAUCCAUUUGACCCCAUUUCCUUUAUAUUCUAUGCAGAAUUACAUGUGCAAUUAGGGUUUGUUUUCAUUAUUACUGUUAUUAUUAUAAUCACUAUUUGCCAAUUCUGUUGAUUACCCUUUCCAUUUGUUUUUCAACAAAACUCUCUCUGUACACCAACAACACUGCCUCAAUCUUUUAAUCUACCAGAAAAAAAAUUCAACUCCAUAAGCAAUUGGAUCAAUAAUAGUAGGAAUUCACAAUUUUCAGUCUCAGUGGUUUCCUUCAACAUUAAACUCCUUUUUAUUUUGAUUGUCCAUUACUUCAUAACUUUGAAAUCCUCUUUCAAUUUCUCUAAUGUAAUUUGACCAAGAUUGUGGCUCGCAAGACUGAACUUUUUUGAAAUAUGGACAUGGGGAGUCCCCACAUUUUGCUAGACUACAUCUUGGAGGGUGCUUGGAAAGCAGAAAUGGUGGGAAAUCGUUUUAUUUUCUGUUUGCAAAAGCCACUUUGCAACUUGUGGUUAUCCUAUUCUAUCACCAAGCUCCUGCCUGUAUUUACAGUGGGCUUUGAAGAACCAGCUGCUGAAAGUGAUAAAUCAGCAGCUGAAAAUGAUGAAUGCGAGACUGAUUGGAACUCAAAGUGAAAUAUAGGUGCUUGUCAACAAUGUUAGAUUGGUAACUUGAGGUGGCAAAGAGUGGUGACUGCUGGCAAAAUGUAUGAAUAUAUGUAUUAUAGUAGCAAUUAUACUUGCUUAUUUCAAUGUUUUUGAAGUCUUCUUAUUUAUAGAACAUUCUGGCUUUUUAUUUUGAGGAGCACUGCUAACAAUAAAUCAGAACCAACAUUUA
rnacentral:lncRNA from 1 species